AGUACAAAGGCUGUUUGAAUUGCUCAUUCUCGUUAUCUGAUUAAUCCGGUAUAAUUGAAGAUCAUCUGGUUUAUUCACAUAAGCAGAGGAUAGUCUUUCUCUGUGUGCAUGGCUGAAGAACUUCAACCUGCCUGUGAUGUAAAUGCCAGAGGAAGAAACCAAGGCCCAAACAAGAAAAGGAGUGAACAGCAAGUAAAUCACAGAGCUCUCCUUCUUACCUGUAUUCCCUACGGUGCCCUUCACACUGAUGUAUGAACUCAAGACAGGCCCACUUCUCUGCAGAAGAAUGUCCUAAUAUCAAAAAUGUGUCUCUGAUGAAUGUUGGACCAAAGGGAGUAAACAGAACCCAAGACAUCUAACAAAAUGUUCCCCAGAAUUAAGAUGAACACCAAAGAGAAUAGAUAAUUUUAUGGAAACUAUGUUGGUGGGAUCCACUUCCAGCUGUGUGUGUCUGCACACCUCAUUCCUCUUGGUCGUGAGACAAGAACUCAGAACUUGCUGAAAUGCAGAAGUGAAAGAGCAGUAUCACUCCAUCCUGCUGAACUACGGGAGUGAAGAAGCCACAGUAGGACUUUACUAGAAGUGAGGAUUGGAGAACAGAAUCUUUCCAAAAGGAACACCUCGAAUACUCACUUCAUCAAGUCUCUGCAGACCAAAACCCAUCUCUGCUAACCAUACCCAUCUUAAAGAUACAGGGAACAACUGCCAUGUUGUGGAGAGAGCAGAAAACAGCAGGCAAUCUCCCAGCCCUGAGAAUGGCCUCCUCUUCCCAACAGCCAGCAGGAAGGCUGGAAUCUCAGUCCUACGACCAAAAGAAACUCUAUUCUAACAGGCCAAAUCAGUCUGGAAGAAGAUCUUAAGCUUCAGCUCACAGAUUCUCUGCCUGUGUCGUAUGGCUAUUGCCAGGGGAUGAACGAGGGUUGCUCUUCGCAAUUCAAGACUGUCUUUCCUACCCUCUUCAGUGCCUCUUGAUGUUAAAACCAGGUGGAAGGAUGAAUCCAAUUCCUGUUAUAUCAUUUUGGCCAGUAAAGAAAACUAACACAAGAACAGAAAACCAAACAUCGCAUGUUCUCACUCAUAAGUGGGAGUUGAACAAUGAGAACACUUGGCCCCCGGGAGGGUGGACAUCCCACACUGGGGCCUGUCGGGGGGUGGGGGGCUAGGGGAGGGAUAGCAUUAGGAGAAAUACCUAAUGUAUAUGACGGGUUGAUGGGUGCAGCAAACCACCAUGGCACGUGUAUACCUAUGUAACAAACCUGCACGUCCUGCACAUGUACCCCAGAACUUAAAAUAUAAUAAAAAAAGAAGGCACAACUUUUAUUUUUUUUAGCAUUUCUUUUGUAAGCAUGUGUUUUAUAUACUUUAUGCUAUGCAGACAUUAGUCAGUGUUUUUAGCAACUUCCAGAAAAUACAUGAGGAGAGUGUACUUUUGAAGCUAAAAUACAUGGCUUCAAUUAUGUUUUGAAAUGAAAGACUUUUGUUGUAAAAUUGUUGAAUUCUUCAUUAAAUGACUCGGGUUUUAAGACAGCUGUAAUAAUAACUAACAUUACAUUACUAAUGUGAUUAUGAUCUUCCUGUGUAUUACAAACUAUAUUUCAUGCUGGGUGAUGGGACUUAGGGCUUACUGUGAGAUGAUUCUAGCUUCAUAGCCCAGAUUGCUGGUUAUUAGACUCCAGCUCAUACGGCAUCACUCUUUCUUAUUCUUAGCAAGAACAUGGACAAGUUUUCAUUUUCAGUGUACCUUCCUCACCCUACAGAACGGUUGAGAGGUUAUAUCUUAGGCCUGUUAAAAUCAUGGUUGCUUUCAGCCGGGCCAGUGGCUUAUGCCUGUAAUCCCACCACCUUGGAAGGCUGAGGCGGGAGGAUCAUGAGGUCAGGAGAUCGAGA
rnacentral:lncRNA from 1 species